rnacentral:rRNA from 1 species
GACUAACGCUGGCGGCGUGCUUAACACAUGCAAGUCGAACGGAAAGGCCCUGCUUUUGUGGGGUGCUCGAGUGGCGAACGGGUGAGUAACACGUGAGUAACCUGCCCUUGACUUUGGGAUAACUUCAGGAAACUGGGGCUAAUACCGGAUCGGAGCUCCUGCUGCAUGGUGGGGGUUGGAAAGUUUCGGCGGUUGGGGAUGGACGCGCGGCUUAUCAGCUUGUUGGUGGGGUAGUGGCUUACCAAGGCUUUGACGGGUAGCCGGCCUGAGAGGGUGACCGGGCACAUUGGGACUGAGAUACGGCCCAGACUCCUACGGGAGGCAGCAGUGGGGAAUAUUGCACAAUGGGCGGAAGCCUGAUGCAGCAACGCCGCGUGCGGGAUGACGGCCUUCGGGUUGUAAACCGCUUUCGCCUGUGACGAAGCGUGAGUGACGGUAAUGAGUAAAGAAGCACCGGCUAACUACGUG